UCGGGAACAAGGACUACACUGU
rnacentral:misc_RNA from 1 species